CUGAAACAGGAGGUGGGCUGGUACACACCAGGGGGUCCCCUGUGCUCCCCCAGGUCACAAUCUCCAUGCUUGUGACAUAGUCUCAACACUGUAAAUCCUAUGGCCCCACCUCUACUCCGCCUUGAAGAAGUUAGGUGUGUCCACAGGCAUCACCUGAAAGUCACCGUGACGUCUUUGAAGUUCUGCAGGAAACUCAACCCUGGGCUCACUGUGGAGGGUGCCGCUGAUCACCACCUAUGCACUCAUAAGCCUGUGAGAGAGAAAAAAGCUGGGAGAAUUGGAUCCAAGGCUUGGCUUCUUCAUUCUGCAGCCUUGCACAAUGGAUGGAAGGAGCCCUGUGACUGGCUUGUCGAUGAAUGAAGAGGACACAAGAGCCGGCAGGCAGAGCACAAGUUAGAAUGAGCUUUGAGAACAACACAAGGGUGAUGGCAGCCAGUGGGAGCCCUGAGAAGGGAGAGUCCGGGCCCAGGGUCACCAGGCAGGUGCCAGGGAUGCCAAGCAGAGGGAGGGUAGUCGAGGGAGUUGUCAGUCACCCAGUCGUGUCUGACUCUUUGCAACCCCGUGGACUGUAACACCCCAAGCUUUUCUGUCCCUCACCAUUUCCCAAAGUUUGCCCAAGUUCAUGUCCAUUGCAUCAGUGAUGCUAUCCAGCCAUCUCAUCGUCUGACGCCCUCUUCUCCUUCUGCCCUCAAUCUUUCCCAACAUCAGGGACUCCAUCCCCUAGUCGAGGGAGGCUGGGAGAACAAAAGGAUUCUGACUAAAAGGCAAAAUAGUUUGUUUCUAGUGCCGGCUUGCCACACCUCCCCACCCCGCCCACCCUUGGGCUGAUUCACCUGUAC
rnacentral:lncRNA from 1 species